UACGUAGGGUGCGAGCGUUAAUCGGAAUUACUGGGCGUAAAGCGUGCGUAGGCGGUUCGUUGUGUCUGUGGUGAAAGCCCCGGGCUUAACCUGGGAAUGGCCAUGGAAACUGGCGAGCUGGAGUGUGGCAGAGGGGGGUGGAAUUCCGCGUGUAGCAGUGAAAUGCGUAGAGAUGCGGAGGAACACCGAUGGCGAAGGCAGCCCCCUGGGUUGACACUGACGCUCAGGCACGAAAGCGUGGGGAGCAAACAGG
rnacentral:rRNA from 1 species